GUCUGCUAAAUGGUCGCGGCUGUACAACCGAAAGGGUACAGGUGAGGAAAGUCCGGGCUUCACAGGGCAGGAUGCCGGAUAACGUCCGGUGGAGGUGACUCUAAGGAAAGUGCAACAGAAAUAAACCGCCUGUGCAUUGGCUGAUGCCUGGCACAGGUAAGGGUGGAAAGGCGGUGUAAGAGACCACCGCCAGCCUGGUAACAGGCUGGGCUCUGUAAACCCCAUCCGAAGCAAGACCGCACAUAAGGCAAUACGGCGGCCCGUCGUGCUUUAGGGUAGGUCGCUGGAUCCCGGCGGCAACGCCGGGGCUAGAUAGAUGACCAUUCAAGACAUAACCCGGCUUAUCGGCAGGCUCAU
rnacentral:RNase_P_RNA from 1 species